GGAUCCGGAUCUUCUCAGCGUCUUUAUUCUCAGCGGCCCUCAGAAGCUUAAAAUCGUGUCCGUUCAAUUGAACUCGGCGCUGAAAAUUGGAGCACGUCAUCCAGCUUCUAAAAUUGCAUCUCUGCCGUUCGCUUUCUUAAAAUCUGGACUGUCCGUUUAUUUCCAGCUUUCAGCCAAAUCCCUGACCAACUGAGAAGAUAGUCUUCGAUGCGCUUCAACCAGCUCGCCGACAACAAUGCUCGUGCUCAUCGGAAAGUAUAGUGGAACAAUAAGACUUUGCCCAUAACAGCCUCAUCGUUUCAUUUCCGCCAAGUCCCUAGAGCUUUUGGGGAUGAACUAGUGAUGAAAACUGCAAUUGGGGUCCUUGGAGAUUUAGCACUUUAUACAUUCCCCUCAUACCAUGUGGAGUGCAGAAAAAUGUUAUAUACAUCCUGAUGAAAUGCAUUAUGAACAAACAGAACUUGUUGUCAUAUUGUGCUAUCAAGACACAACUUUCUUCCAUGUUUAACAAAAUAAAACUAACCACCAUAUGGAACUAGCUAUUAUGAUGAACAAAAUAGAAUUUGUUGUCAUAUUGAACUUGCUACCAUGUCAUACAAAAUAGAACUUGUUAGAUUCACUAUCAAAAAAAGAAGUUGCUGGACUGAAUGAUUGAAUUGUUGGAAUUUGAAUUGUUAUUGUAGGUGGUGGCUGCCUUGUCCUCCAUGCUCACUAAACAUUGUUGAAGCUGUAAAAGAUGGACCUUCAUUUUGCAGGAAUUGACUGGAAAUUGUUGACGUUUUACAAGAGGGACCAUCACCAACUAGGGAUUGAUUGGACAUUGUUGAUGCCAUUAUGGUGCAAGGACCUUCACCUAACAAGAAGGAAGGAAGAAGAGCAGUUCAAAUGUUAGCAUAGGGUCAUAAAAAUUUGUAUAGUUGAUUUAUUAAAAAUUGUAUUAGAGUGUAGUUAUAUUAUCUUGAUGUAACAUAAACAUUGAUUUUAAUAAAAGUGACAUUUUCCCUUAA